GUGCUUGCUUCGGCAGCACAUAUACUAAAAUUGGAAGGAUACAGAGAUGAUUAGCCUGGCCCCUGUGCAAGGAUGAGAAACAAAUUCAUGAAGCAUUCCGUAAGAAA
ensembl:snRNA U6 U6 spliceosomal RNA